rnacentral:rRNA from 1 species
CGUAGGGUGCGAGCGUUAAUCGGAAUUACUGGGCGUAAAGCGUGCGCAGGCGGUUUUGUAAGACAGAUGUGAAAUCCCCGGGCUCAACCUGGGACCUGCAUUUGUGACUGCAAGGCUAGAGUACGGUAGAGGGGGAUGGAAUUCCGCGUGUAGCAGUGAAAUGCGUAGAUAUGCGGAGGAACACCGAUGGCGAAGGCAAUCCCCUGGACCUGUACUGACGCUCAUGCACGAAAGCGUGGGGAACAAACAGGAUUAGAUACCCUGGUAGUCCACGCCCUAAACGAUGUCAACUGGUUGUUGGGUCUUUUACUGACUCAGUAACGAAGCUAACGCGUGAAGUUGACCGCCUGGGGAGUACGGCCGCAAGGUUG